ACAACUUUAGUUGCUUCCGUCCAGCUGCGCAAAUUUCAAGUUUCUCGCUUAAGUCUUUUGUUCGUCGUCUGAUAAAUUAUUAAUGAACAAUUCAGCGAUACCAGUUGCAUUCAAUAUAUGUGCAUAUCUCUUGGUCAUGCUUGGUUUGUCACAGUUUUCAAAAAAUGUGGUCACAAAAGUCAAUAUUUAAGUAUUGACUGUUGUCAUGAGUUGUUCUUGGCAUACAAAGGAUUAAGGGAAUUCAUUUUUGCAAAUCGCUUAAAUGAAAAAA